rnacentral:misc_RNA from 1 species
GAAAGAAUGUUUUCUAUUUAGCCUGAAAAACACUGAUAGGUAUUCUGAUGCAGCAGAUCCCUACAGAUUUCAGCAGACACUUGCAGAUCAGAUUCUCUUAAAGCUGCUGUGGCAUGAAUACCUAUUUUCUGUCAGCUCAAACAACCAGGAGAGGGUCUUUUCUUCUAUGGAUUUUUCUUCUGGUGGUAUUCAACCUUCUCAUCAG